CCUACGGGGGGCAGCAGUGGGGAAUAUUGGGCAAUGGGCGCAACCCUGAUCCAGCAACGCCGCGUGAAGGAAGAAGUCUUUCGGGUUGUAAACUUCUUUUCUCAGGGACGAAGCAAGUGAUGGUAGAUGAGGAAUAAGCCACGGCUAACUACGUGCAAGCAGCAGCGGUAAUAAGUUGGUGGCAAGCGUUAUUCGGAUUUACUGGGUGUAAAGGGAGUGUAGGCGGGACUGCAAGUCAGAUGUGAAAACCACGGGCUCAACCUGUGGCCUGCAUUUGAAACUGUAGUUCUUGAGUGCAGGAGAGGCAGACGGAAGUCCUAGUGUAGCGGUGAAAUGCGUAGAUAUUAGGAGGAACACCAGUGGCGAAGGCGGUCUACUGGACAGCAACUGACGCUGAGGCGCGAAAGCGUGGGGAGCAAACAGGAUUAGAUACCCCAGUAGUC
rnacentral:rRNA from 1 species